rnacentral:rRNA from 1 species
AUUGAACGCUGGCGGCGGGCCUAACACAUGCAAGUCGAGCGGAUGAAGGGAGCUUGCUCCUGGAUUCAGCGGCGGACGGGUGAGUAAUGCCUAGGAAUCUGCCUGGUAGUGGGGGAUAACGUCCGGAAACGGGCGCCAAUACCGCAUACGUCCUGAGGGAGAAAGUGGGGGAUCUUCGGACCUCACGCUAUCAGAUGAGCCUAGGUCGGAUUAGCUAGUUGGUGGGGUAAAGGCCUACCAAGGCGACGAUCCGUAACUGGUCUGAGAGGAUGAUCAGUCACACUGGAACUGAGACACGGUCCAGACUCCUACGGGAGGCAGCAGUGGGGAAUAUUGGACAAUGGGCGAAAGCCUGAUCCAGCCAUGCCGCGUGUGUGAAGAAGGUCUUCGGAUUGUAAAGCACUUUAAGUUGGGAGGAAGGGCAGUAAGUUAAUACCUUGCUGUUUUGACGUUACCAACAGAAUAAGCACCGGCUAACUUCGUG